AUUGAACGCUGGCGGCAGGCUUAACACAUGCAAGUCGAGCGGGGGAAGGUAGCUUGCUACCGGACCUAGCGGCGGACGGGUGAGUAAUGCUUAGGAAUCUGCCUAUUAGUGGGGGACAACAUCUCGAAAGGGAUGCUAAUACCGCAUACGUCCUACGGGAGAAAGCAGGGGAUCUUCGGACCUUGCGCUAAUAGAUGAGCCUAAGUCGGAUUAGCUAGUUGGUGGGGUAAAGGCCAACCAAGGCGACGAUCUGUAGCGGGUCUGAGAGGAUGAUCCGCCACACUGGGACUGAGACACGGCCCAGACUCCUACGGGAGGCAGCAGUGGGGAAUAUUGGACAAUGGGCGGAAGCCUGAUCCAGCCAUGCCGCGUGUGUGAAGAAGGCCUUUUGGUUGUAAAGCACUUUAAGCGAGGAGGAGGCUACUUAGAUUAAUACUCUGGGAUAGUGGACGUUACUCGCAGAAUAAGCACCGGCUAACUCUGUGCCAGCAGCCGCCGUAACAC
rnacentral:rRNA from 1 species